GCUUUCUCUCUCUGUUGAGGAAAAUGAUCUGGAGGUGCUGGUUGAUGCUUGCCUCAACACAAGCCGGCAGUGUGCCCAGGUGGCCAAGAAGGCCAACAGCACCCUGGCUUGUGUCAGGAGCAGUGCAGCCAGCAGGGCCAGGGAGGUGAUCGUCCCCCUAUGCACUCUGC